rnacentral:tRNA from 1 species
UAAAGCCUGUUGAACAUUAAACAACAUCUUCUGAAUGCAACCCGGACGCUUUUAUUAAGCUAAAGCUUUA